GUUUUUUUUGACAGUAGAGAAGGUUAGCGCUGUCUUAGACAAGGAUGGAAGAGGUUCUAGUGACCUUCAGCACACAUUGCCACCUACUCUCUCAUGUUUUGUGUGGUUAUGAAGUGGUAAAAGCUCU
rnacentral:ncRNA from 1 species